AGUGAACGCUGGCGGUAGGCCUAACACAUGCAAGUCGAACGGCAGCACAGUAAGAGCUUGCUCUUACGGGUGGCGAGUGGCGGACGGGUGAGGAAUACAUCGGAAUCUACUUUUUCGUGGGGGAUAACGUAGGGAAACUUACGCUAAUACCGCAUACGACCUACGGGUGAAAGCAGGGGAUCUUCGGACCUUGCGCGAUUGAAUGAGCCGAUGUCGGAUUAGCUAGUUGGCGGGGUAAAGGCCCACCAAGGCGACGAUCCGUAGCUGGUCUGAGAGGAUGAUCAGCCACACUGGAACUGAGACACGGUCCAGACUCCUACGGGAGGCAGCAGUGGGGAAUAUUGAACAAUGGGCGCAAGCCUGAUCCAGCAAUACCGCGUGGGUGAAGAAGGCCUUCGGGUUGUAAAGCCCUUUUGUUGGGAAAGAAAAGCAGCAGGUUAAUACCCCGCUGUUCUGACGGUACCCAAAGAAUAAGCACCGGCUAACUUCGUG
rnacentral:rRNA from 1 species